UGGGAUGUAGUUCAGUGGCAAAACGCUUGCCUUAGCAAGUUCAACGCCCUGGGUUCGAUCCCCAGUACCAA
rnacentral:tRNA from 1 species